rnacentral:ncRNA from 20 species
AAGCCAUCCCGAGCGGCCGAGAGAUCUGGCUCUAUGACGCCGCAGCAACCACCUUUUUGAGGCCGGUGCUACCGCCAGGUCCGAUGGAGAGAUCAUGACUU